UACAAAUCUUGUGUCACUGUGAUCCCUUCCCAGUGAAUCACUCUCAAGAUAUAGAAAGGAAGAUGAGAUUGUGGUUUGCAUUGGUUUUCUUUUUCUCAUUCCUCAAAGGUAUCCAAUCACAGGUGCAGUUGGUGGAGUCUGGAGGAGAUGUAAAAAGGCCUGGAGAUUCCCUCCAACUCUCCUGCCAAGCCUCUGGGUUCAACUUUGGCAGCUAUGGCAUGAACUGGGUGCGGCAGGCUCCUGGGAAAGGACUGGAAUGGGUUGCAGGGAUAUGGUAUGAUGGGAGCAAGCAAUACUAUGCUAAUUCUGUGAAAGGACGCUUCACCAUCACCAGGAACAAUCCCUCAAACAUGCUGUAUCUGCAAAUGAAUAACCUGAAAGCCGAGGACACUGCCAUGUAUUACUGUGCGAGAGGCACACAGUGA